rnacentral:lncRNA from 1 species
CUUUUCUGGAUAAUUCUGUUCUCUGAAUGAAAUUACAGAUCAAGUAUAGAUUACAAAAGAACAUAGCCUGCAGAUGUGUAUUGAGUUCAAAAGCAUGUAGAAGAAACUACUGAAAUGAUCAAAUGACAGAAAUGUAUAUUUUACAAUGCCUAAUCUUGAAUCUUAUGUUGCUACAUGUAAGCCAGGCUAUCAAAUCCUGAUAAGGUCUUGACCAAUUCCCAUUUUAAAGACAGACGAUUGUGGUUGGAAAUUGGACCUUCAUGAUUUCAUCAUCCAAUGAAUCAAUGAUACUUUUCCAGAUCCAUCUGCUGUUAGACUGUUAAUGUGCAUGCUUUCGAAUCUUGAUCAGUCAAUUGCAUAGCUUGGAAUUGGAAUGGUGGAAACUAGGAGCAUACAAGUUAUUGUAUAUAUUCCCAUAACUAUAUAUAAAUGGUUCCAUAUGUAUGUAUAAUCAUGAUCAAAUCUGAUGAGAAUCAUCAAGUAAGAUUAUAAUAUCAUAAAAUUAAUGAAUACAGCACAAGUAUAAUGUAGUCAUGUGGACAUUGCAUCAUGUAGAAUCUGACACCUCAAUUUAAAUUUAAAACAAGAAUAUAUCAUCUAUACAUGUUCAGCAACCUGGUUCAUUAGCAGCAGUAUUCUAUCAUGUCCAAAAAAACAGAAGUAGCUUAUAUUAUAUCAUCAUUAUCAUAACAGACUAUCUGGCAAGAGAACAUUUCCGGGUUUAAAACUAAUGGGAUGAGUACGUAAAAGAGGUUAAGAAAAUCCAGAGGAGUCAAAGCCAGGGAAGAGGCAGUGCAUGAGUGGAGCCACAACAGCUUGACUGUUCUGUUGGGAACUCCAUCCAUGCUCUACCUCGUCCCUGUCUUAUUUAUCAUCACUCUCUUUCAAUCCUCUCAGUUCUCACCCCUAAGAUGAACUAGUAAUGUGAAACUCUACCUGACCUCCAACAGAAUCAGCUGCUCCGAUCGAGAAUAGUACUCACCGGUCGACUUGCCUAUCUGCUUUGGUUAUGUCAAGCCUGAUUGAUCUAAAACUGAAUUGUGGGUAUCAUCUGUUCCUUGCUCAU